rnacentral:rRNA from 1 species
UGUUUGAUGUUCUAACGUGGACCCGUAAUCCGGGUUGCGGACAGUGUCUGGUGGGUAGUUUGACUGGGGCGGUCUCCUCCUAAAGAGUAACGGAGGAGCACGAAGGUUGGCUAAUCCUGGUCGGACAUCAGGAGGUUAGUGCAAUGGCAUAAGCCAGCUUGACUGCGAGCGUGACGGCGCGAGCAGGUGCGAAAGCAGGUCAUAGUGAUCCGGUGGUUCUGAAUGGAAGGGCCAUCGCUCAACGGAUAAAAGGUACUCCGGGGAUAACAGGCUGAUACCGCCCAAGAGUUCAUAUCGACGGCGGUGUUUGGCACCUCGAUGUCGGCUCAUCACAUCCUGGGGCUGAAGUAGGUCCCAAGGGUAUGGCUGUUCGCCAUUUAAAGUGGUACGCGAGCUGGGUUUAGAACGUCGUGAGACAGUUCGGUCCCUAUCUGCCGUGGGCGCUGGAGAACUGAGGGGGGCUGCUCCUAGUACGAGAGGACCGGAGUGGACGCAUCACUGGUGUUCGGGUUGUCAUGCCAAUGGCACUGCCCGGUAGCUAAAUGCGGAAGAGAUAAGUGCUGAAAGCAUCUAAGCACGAAACUUGCCCCGAGAUGAGUUCUCCCUGAGACUUAGAGUCUCCUGAAGGAACGUUG